UUCUAUCAAUACUUUACAGCUAAGAUAGCAUAUACUAGUUGAUUUCCUUACACCAAACACGUUCCCCACGAACCCUAACUCCCAAUUCCGAUCCCGAUCCGAAUUAUGGAGCAUGACAAGUGGUAUCAUGAGCCAGGCCGCUCCUUGGCGACGCGGUGAACUGCGGGGCGAAUUGUUUCUCCCACCCUCCUCUCCCAAAUUCUGGCGGCGAGGGCGAGAUCUUGCGUGGCGGCGGUGAGAUCUAGCGCAGCGGCGGUGUUGGUGGUGUUAGGCGGCGGUAGACUGUUCGGCAACAGCUUGUGGAGUGGGACUGGUUGCUGGAACACCUGGUUCUAGUGCUAAAAUCCUAGGUCCCCAGCAAGUGGUGUUGCAUCGGCGGCGCGGAUUUUCGGCGGUGACGGGAUCUGGAAGCAGGUCAGGUUUCCAGCUCGUCUAGUUGUAAAAUUCCUUGAUACUCUUCCAGUUCAUGAUGGGGCAUUCGAAGGCCAGCAUGGACGAGAGCGACAUCGUGGAAUUACUUGCUCUCAAGGGUGAGGUGCUGCAAAAUCGAGAAGAUACACAUGAUACGCGGGAGGGGGGACUUGAUGAUCUGCGCAAGGAUGUCCACGGGAUUCAUCUCAAGCAGGACACCAUGACCCAAGUUAUGUCAGGAGUGCAAGACACAGUAUCAGCCCUGAAUAUGAAACUAGCGGCCACGUCUAUGUGCACAAGACCUUUGCUCUUCCUCGUACCCCUUCUCCAGCACAGACAGCGCAACAAUAGAGAGCUCCUGUAGUCGAUGCCGCUCAGCCUACGGCACAAGCACUCGAGCAGGAACAUCCCAGGGCACUAACUGAUGAACUUCACAAACGUCUUGCUGAAGAACAGGAGAAAACCAAGCAACUGGCCAUACAAAUGCCGCCCAAUCUACCUCCUAUCAAGGUCACCAGUCGAUCAGCUCCCCCAGGAUUCACUGAUCAGGUGGACUUCCUUGGUCACAUAAUCUCAGGAGAGGGAGUUCAAACUGACCCAGCUAAGAUCUCUGAAGUGGCAGAUUGGCCAGUACUAACCACACCUACAAAACUAAGGGGUUUCUUGGGCCUAUGUGGUUAUUAUAGGAGCGUCCACAACUUUGGAUCUAUUGCUCGGCCCCUGCAUGGUAUGCUCAAAAAGGACAAUUUCAACUGGUUUGCAGCUCAAACAGAGGCCUUCAAUUAAUUGAAACAAGCCAUGAUUACAGCACCUAUUUUAGCUUUGCCAGACUUCUCGGCUCCCUUUGUUUUUGAGACAGAUGCAUCAGGCAGUGGUUUGGGUGAUGUUAUGAUGUAAAAGGGUAGACCAAUAUCUUACUACAGCUCCUCACUUGGCCCUAAAAAUGCCGCACUUUCCACAUAUGAGAAAGAAGCAUUGGCUAUCAUCGAAGCCUUGAAGAGAUGGAGACAUUAUUUCCUAGGAAAUGACCUGAUAAUCAGAACUGAUCACCAAAGUUUGCAGUUCAUAACAGACCAGAAACUAGCCAGCGGCAUUCAACACAAACUAAUGCUCAAGCUACUGAAGUUCCAUUUUCAGCUAGAAUACAAGAAGGGAAAAGAUAAUUUAGUUGUUGAUGCUCUCUCAAGGAAACAUUCCUGCAUGGCCAUAUCCAUGGUCACUCCUAAGUGGAUAUCAGCAGUGGAGGACUCAUACCAAUAGGACCCUCACUGCCAGCAAUUACUGGAGCAACUACUGCUAACACCUACCCACACUGUUAACAAAAAUUCCCUACAUGAUGGCAUUAUCAGACAUAAAGGGAAGAUCUAUGUGGGCAAGGAUAUGGAGUUAAGGAAAAGCUUAAUGCAUGUUUUACACUCUUCUGCUGUAGGGGGCCAUUCUGGCAUGAAAGCUUCCUAUCACAGACUCAAAACAAAUAUUCUACUGUCCAGGCAUGAAAAAGGAUAUAGAUCAAUUUGUUACAUUGUGUUCAGUCUGUCAGAAGAACAAGGGAGAAACAUGCCCCUAUCCUGGAUUUCUUGAGCCUUUACAUGUACCUGAUAUGGUUUGUACCCAUGUGAGCAUGGAUUUCAUAGAGGGGCUCCCUCAAUCUGAUGGUAAAAAUGUUAUCUUAGUGGUGGUUGACAGACUAUCAAAAUUGGCACAUUUUAUCCCAUUAUCUCAUCCUUACACAGUGCAAACAGUUGCAAGAGCAUUCAUAAAUAACAUCCUCAAACUGCACGGCCCACCCCUUGCGAUUGUAUCAGACAGAGAUGCUAUCUUCACAAGUCAUCUAUGGAAGGAUAUUUUCUCGGCAAUGGGUAUUGAAUUGAGAUAUAGUUCUGCCUAUCAUCCUCAAUAAAAUGGCCAAACAGAGCGUAUUAACCAGUGCAUCGAGAACUAUCUAUGAUAUAUGACAUCCUCUGAACCCAAGAAAUGGAGCAGACAUUUGGCUAUGGCAAAGUAUUGGUACAAUACCUCCUUCCACUCCUCUCCGUAGAAAACACCAUCCGAAGCUUUGUGUGGCUACCCACCCCCUGACAUCAACCCACCACUUCCACCUCCCAGCAUUGCAAGUGAAGCUACAGAAUUCUUAUCUGAUAGAAACUCUAUGUUGCAGCAGCGGAAGGCUAAUCUUGCUACAGCACAGGCAAGAAUGAAGAAGUAUACCGAUAUGAAAAUGACAGAGAGAUUCCUGUAAGUAGGGGACAUGGUGUAUCUGAAAAUGCAGCCCUACUGUCUCAAUGCAUUUGGCCUCCACACUCAUAUCAAACUACAGAGCAAGUUCUACGGCCCCUUUCGCAUUACAGAUCAUGGGGGCAAUGUGGCUUACAAACUACUACUCCCCAGCUCCUCCAACAUCCAUCUUGUUUUCCAUGUGAGCCAACUCAAGAAGCAUUUGGGCCCUAAGGAAGUUCCCUGCUCGGAUUUGCCGUUGAUCAGUCCUAAGGGGAUAAUUCACACCGAACUAGUACUGGUAUUGGAAACAAGGCAGAUUCCUCCCAAUAAUCUACCUGUUAUCCAAUGGCUCGUCCAAUGGGAAAAUUUACCACCAGACGAUGCAUCAUGGGAAGAUGCCGACUUCAUGAAGAAAACAUUCCCAGCACUCUUCAAGAAGACAGUGCAGACCUGGUUUAACCGACCAACUCCUUGAGGACAAGUUCGUCUUUAGAGGGAGGCAUUGUCAGGUUGCUUCCACCUGCAGUAGCAUUGUUGCAUUCUUCAGUUAUCGAACGGCUAGGAAGGGACAUCAUCAAGACGAAGGAAUGGCUCACAUGGCUCGCCCCUCCUUCGACGCUCACUAUUGCAUUUACGUUUUAGUCCCUGUUCACUUUCUUUCCGUUGUCAGCUGAGGUAUAUAAGCCACCCACCCUCUUGUAAUCGGUAUCGUAUUCUGAUGAACCAUUCUAUCAAUACUUUAUAGCUAA